rnacentral:lncRNA from 1 species
UUGGAAGGCUGAGAUACUGUGAACUUCGUCCAAUUGUGGUAAGAACUCUGAAACAAGAACAAGGUGAGCCUAAUGUGGGUUGGCCUGAGGUCUGUGUGGGAUGUGGACACACUGUGUAUGCAUGGUUCACAGAGAAACAGCAGGAUGCUGUAGAUAUUGCACAGGGAACAGGAAAAGGUGCAAGCUAAGAACAGGGCAGACAUUUCCCAGCAUCUUCCCUCAACAGGCCCAUUGGCAGAGGAGUUGCUUCUUAAUUUCUCAACACUAUGAAAAACCAAGCACUGUGAUAACUGCUGUCAUCUUGUAGGUGAUGCUUGCUAAGACCACAGCAUUGGCACAACCAUCCAGGCGUAAAAGUCCAGGCUGUCAGGAGCCCAGGUACAAGCACCCCAAAACCUGAUGAUCUGAUGAACCGGAUAUGUUCUCUUCAGGGUUUCUGGGUUCAGUAUUGCUCUGAAUUCCCCAGUGCAGACAAGAUGCAACCAUCUGUAGAACCCCAAGAAGACCACGCAGGACACUCAUCGCCUUUUCUAGCCUUCAUUCUGGAAGUGAUCAUUGGCCAGAACACAUCCUGUGCCGCGCAUAGCCGCAGGGUGCUGGGAACUGCAGAGGCACCAAGGCAUUCCGGGUGAAUGAGAAUGACUCUACUACGCAUGGUUUGGGUGGUUCCUGCAAAGAAAGGUUCACCACAGCACCCUUCAUCUCCCCCUUAGGGACUGUUAAAAAAGACUAGAGCUGGUGGACUGCUCCUGGAUGGCUCCAAGAUGUAUGAGGCUGCAGAGCCCAGGCUGGGAGCGCCAGGGAGGCUGCGGACAAGAUGUGCCCACCAAGUUCAGAGAGGGCGCUGGGCAUUCAGAGGGGCAGACAGGCAAAUGCAAAUGUGGGAAAUGUCCCUCUGGUGAAGUGCCAGGGCCCUGAAGUGGAAAUGCAUGUGGGAUGAGAGGGAGGGGAGGGGAGAGAGAGAGGGAGGGAGGAAGGGUUGAGCGAGAUCCUCUGAAUGGCUGCAUGGGGAGC